AUCAUCAUGCCGAGCUAUUUAUCC
rnacentral:siRNA from 1 species